rnacentral:rRNA from 1 species
CUACGGAGCGCUGCAGUGAGGAAUAUUGCACAAUGGGGGGAACCCUGAUGCAGCAACGCCGCGUGGAGGAUGACGCAUUUCGGUGUGUAAACUCCUUUUAUAUGUCAAGAAAAUGACGGUAGCAUAUGAAUAAGCACCGGCUAACUCCGUGCCAGCAGCCGCGGUAAUACGGAGGGUGCAAGCGUUACUCGGAAUCACUGGGCGUAAAGGACGCGUAGGCGGGUUGGAAAGUCAGGUGUGAAAUCCUACAGCUUAACUGUAGAACUGCACUUGAAACUUCUAAUCUAGAGUAUGGGAGGGGGAGAUGGAAUUAGUGGUGUAGGGGUAACAUCCGUAGAUAUCACUAGGAAUACCUAAAGCGAAGGCGAUCUCCUGGAACAUUACUGACGCUAAGGCGUGAAAGCGUGGGGAGCAAACAGGAUUAGAUACCCCCGUAGUC